GAUGAACGCUAGCUACAGGCUUAACACAUGCAAGUCGAGUGGAAACGACAUCGAAAGCUUGCUUUUGAUGGGCGUCGACCGGCGCACGGGUGAGUAACGCGUAUCCAACCUGCCCACCACUUGGGGAUAACCUUGCGAAAGUAAGACUAAUACCCAAUGAUAUCUCUAGAAGCCAUCUGAAAGAGAUUAAAGAUUUAUCGGUGAUGGAUGGGGAUGCGUCUGAUUAGCUUGUUGGCGGGGUAACGGCCCACCAAGGCAACGAUCAGUAGGGGUUCUGAGAGGAAGGUCCCCCAAAUUGGAACUGAGACACGGGAAAAAAUCCUAAGGGAGGCAGCAGUGAGGAAGAUUGGGCAAUGGACGAGAGUCUGAACCAGCCAAGUAGCGUGCAGGAAGACGGCCCUAGGGGUGGUAAACUGCUUUUAUAAGGGAAUAAAGUGAGUCUCGGGAGACUUUUUGCAUGUACCUUAUGAAUAAGGACCGGCUAAUUCCGUG
rnacentral:rRNA from 1 species